GUGCCAGCGGCGCGGUCAUACGGAGGGUGCAAGCGUUGUCCGGAAUCACUGGGCGUAAAGGGUGCGCAGGCGGGGCAGCAAGUCGGAGGUGAAAGCCCGUGGCUUAACCAUGGAGGUGCAUUCGAAACUGUUGCUCCUGAGUCCCGGAGAGGCUGUCGGAAUUCGUGGUGUAGCGGUGAAAUGCGUAGAUAUCACGAGGAACACCAGAGGCGAAAGCGGACAGCUGGACGGGUACUGACGCUCAGGCACGAAAGCGUGGGGAGCAAACAGGAUUAGAAACCCCGGUAGUCC
rnacentral:rRNA from 1 species